GAGGGUAGAGCUCAGUGGUGGAGUGUGUGCUUAGCAUGCACAAGGUCCUGGGUUCAAUCCCCAAUACCUCCA
rnacentral:tRNA from 1 species